CGGCUCGAGAGUAUUCGCAUGUUGUGAGGACAGGAGUCAGCAGAAGCCAUAGUAGCCGAACGCCGGGAGUAAUGUCCCGGACAUGGUGAAGGGC
rfam:Metagenome sequence AGZO5508.g2, whole genome shotgun sequence.